GACGUUACCUACAGAAGAAGCACCGGCUAACUCCGUGCCAGCAGCCGCGGUAAUACGGAGGGUGCGAGCGUUAAUCGGAAUUACUGGGCGUAAAGCGCAUGCAGGCGGCCUGUUAAGUCAGAUGUGAAAGACCCGGGGCGUUAACCUCGGAAUUGCAUUUGAAACUGGCAGGCUAGAGUCUUGUAGAGGGGGGUAGGAAUUUCAGGUGUAGCGGUGAAAUGCGUAGAGAUCUGAAGGAAUACCAGUGGCGAAGGCGGCCCCCUCGGACAAAGACUGACGCUCAGAUGCGAAAGCGUGGGGAGCAAACAGGAUUAGAUACCCUGGUAG
rnacentral:rRNA from 1 species